AAUCUUCAUAAUAUUACAAUUGAGCCAAACGCGCUCUCACUUUGGACUAAAGUCAAUAGGUGCAGCUCCGAUCCACCUUUCUUCGUCUGAAAGCGUCUCGCCUCCCACCCUCUUUCUCUGCUAGAGGUCUGGCAUCCAACCGUUGUCUGGCAUCGGCUUCUCUUUUCUUCUUCUUCUUCUUCUCCUUCUCUCUACUUGAAAGAAGAUGGAGAAAUCUCUGCUCGGCGGGGAGAGCAGCGGGAGCGGCACGGGUAAUUUGAGGCUGAAAAAUCAGAUGCGGGCGUUCGCUCGGAGGUCCGAUGCCAUCACUUACGGCUCUCGCUACCAGAAAGCGGCAGCUCUCGUCGAUCUGGCUGAAGAUGGUAUUGGUCUACCUGAGCAGAUUCUUGAUCAGUCGACCUUUGAAAGUGCAGCAAAGUUCUACUUCAUCUUUAUUCGAUUUGAUUUUCUUUGGUCCCUUAACCUUUUUGCCUUGAUAGUUUUGAAUUUUCUGGAGAAACCUCUAUGGUGUGCCAAGUAUGCUGCUGCUUCUUGCAACAACAGGGAUUACUAUUUUCUUGGGCAGUUGCCAUACUUAACUGGUAUUGAAUCUCUUAUUUAUGAGGGAAUUACUCUUGCAAUACUGAUGAUGCAUACCGUCUUUCCAAUUUCGUAUGAAGGUUUCCAUAUCUAUUGGAAAAACCGUCUAAAUAGAUUAAAGGUUGUUUUCCUAUUAAUCAUGGUCGCUGAUUUAUUAGUUUAUGCCAUCCAUUUGUCUCCAAUGGCCUUCUUUUAUGUUCCUUUGAGGAUUGCACCGUAUAUCCGAGUUGCCUUUUUCAUUUUGAACAUUAGGGAUUUACGAGCAAGUAUCGUCAUCCUAGGUGGAAUGCUUGGCACAUACCUAAAUGUCUUGGCUCUUGGGCUUUUGUUUCUUCUGUUCUCCAGUUGGUUAGCCUAUAUCAUAUUUGAAGAUACUCUGCAGGGAAAGACUGUAUUUACUUCGUAUGGUACCACAUUAUAUGAAAUGUUUGUUUUAUUCACUACAUCCAACAACCCAGACGUUUGGAUUCCAGCAUACAAGGCUUCACGCUGGUAUUGCCUGUUUUUUGUUCUGUACGUGUUAUUGGGUGUUUAUUUUGUCACCAAUCUGGUCCUUGCUGCUGUGUAUGACGGCUUUAAAAGUCAGCUUGUUAAACAAGUUGCUGAGAUGGAUAGUAUGAGGAAACGUAUGUUGGGGAAAGCCUUCAAUCUCGUAGAUGAACAUAAUGUCAUGUUUCUUAAUAAAGAGCAAUGUAUUUGCUUGUUUGAAGAACUGAACAAAUACAGGACUUUGCCAAAAAUACCCAGAGAAGAAUUUGAGCUUAUAUUUGACGAGCUGGAUGAUAGUCAUGACUUCAAGAUAAGUUUGGAUGAAUUUGCCGACCUCUGCCAUGCAAUUGCAUUAAGAUUCCGAAAGGAGGAUUCUCUAUCUUGGUUUGAGAAGUGUCCAUUUUAUCAUUCACCCUUAUCUGAACAGUUAAAAGGCUUUGUUCGGAGCCCCAAAUUCAGAUACAUAGUAGUUACCAUUCUCAUAUUGAAUUUGGCUGCUGUCAUUGUUGAAACAAUGCUUGAUUUAGAGAACAAUUCUGCUCAAAAGGUCUGGCAGCGGGUAGAGUUUGUUUUUGGAUGGCUAUAUGUCCUUGAAAUGGCUUUCAAAGUUUACGCACUUGGAUUUGAGAACUAUUGGAGGGAUGGACAAAAUCGCUUUGAUUUCAUAAUCACUUGGAUAAUCGUCAUUGGAGAAACCACAACUAUCGUAUUCCCCCAUGGUCCAACUUUUCUUUCAAAUGGCGAAUGGAUUCGUUACCUUAUUCUUGCAAGAAUGUUACGGUUAAUAAGGCUCCUGAUGCAUGUCCAGCGUUAUCGUGCCUUUGUCGCCACAUUCCUAACCCUCAUCCCGAGUUUAAUGCCGUAUCUUGGGAUCAUAUUUUGUGUUCUAUGCAUCUACUGCUCCCUUGGUUUACAGCUUUUUGGCGGGAUUGUAAAUUCUGGGAACCCUAUGUUGGAUGGAACAGUUCUCGCAGAUAAUGACUAUUUGCUUUUCAACUUCAACGACUACCCAAACGGGAUGGUCACACUUUUCAAUUUGCUAGUCAUGGGAAACUGGCAUAUUUGGAUGCAGAGCUACAAGGUUUUGACAGGAACGUCUUGGACUCUUCUGUACUUUGUGAGCUUUUACUUAAUAACAGUAUUGCUUCUACUGAAUUUGGUUAUGGCAUUUGUAUUGGAAGCAUUCUUUGCUGAAAUGGAAUUAGAGAUGUCAGAAAAAUGUGAAGAACAAUCCGAGGAUACAGAAGGAAAGAAGGAUCGACGCCGAUACGUUGGAUCAAAAACACGGAGUCAGAGAGUUGAUAUCCUCCUCCAUCAUAUGUUGAGUGCUGAGCUCUCUGAAACGCAGUGCUCCACUGAAUAACUUUGCCUCUUCGUUAUUCUGGUUCACACACAGGAUAUAUGUACUUCCACUGAAAGUCCACUUUGAAUUACCAUAAUGCCCUCUGCUUGUUUGUGCAAAGUUUAUUGGACCACAACCACCACCCGCUACCAUAGUUAACCCUACUGGCUGUUGCUCAACCAUCUCCAUCACCAGCCUGCGUUGCCGCCACCAUCACCACUAACUGCUAGCUACUACCUAGAACUGCUGCUAUCACUGCUCCACCACACCAAGCCACCAUCCGCCCUGGUACUUCUGCCACCCUUAGGCACCAAUCUACCACCACUACCUGCAGAUGCAUCCUCCACCACUAGCACCACACUCAGCUGCCACCAGUACCACCAGGACAACGAUCUGCUGUUGCUGUCAUCACCACCCACCCGUCGGCACUGAUAUUGCUGCUUCCACCAUUAUAACACUACCAUACCAUGUGUCGGAUGUUGCUGGCUUACUGCCACAAUUACACACUAUGAACCUAUUUCACUGUUUAUUAUUUCCAUUACUAAACAAUUUUUUGUCUUCAACAAAUGAGUGCUCUUUUUCAAAUUUCUUUAAGGAAAAAGAAAAAAACAUGGAGUUGAAAACUUGAAACUAGAAGAUAAAAGACGUUUUUCACAAUUAAACAGGCCUUUGUUGGCUCUUCAGCAAAUCAACUUCAGUAGCAGAGUACCUUCGGGUUUAUUCAUGUGGUUUCUGAGUUUCUUUUUCACGAGGAUGUGCAUACUAUGCCUAUUCAUUAAUUCAUAUGAAAUCCAUAUGUAUCAGCGGAGAUGACCAUUGAAUCCACAUGAAUUCUUAAUCUUUGAUCAUUAUUUGGGCAGGUGGUAUGAUCUCUCAAUGAAUUAGAGGAGUUAAGAGGGGAAUAUUAAGACUUGCUUUGAGAUCUCCAGUUCUGUAAUUAAUGGAAAACAUGUUUAAUGAAAAUACCUUCCAACAGGAGAGCUCUAUCUACUAUUGCUUCAGUGAGUUUGUCAAUGUUCCAUUUUGCGUGCGGGUACCGUGAAUGAGUUCGGAACAGCGUGCUUUAAAUGUUCAGUUGUAUACAUUUUGUACCUUAAAUGCAAAUCUCAAUUAUAAUUUAACAAUAUGUUUUUUAGGGGGUGGGGCAUGUUUAUUCAGUCACUGAAGCGUGUUAACAGCCUGCGGCAUCUUCAAGCGCUGUCCUGCUUCACUGCACUGCGCCGAGUCUGCAGCAUUAAGGAAUAAUCUUUGACAGUUUUAUAUACACCUGUCCCUCUCUCCUUACAUCUUGUCAUUUCUGUUAUGCAAGAAUAUUCUCUUAUUUUGUGUAUAAAUACCACGGCCAUGUAUUGAAUUAAAUCAAUGAGAAAACACAUAAUAUUUUUCUUUCC